rnacentral:rRNA from 1 species
AGUAAAUUGGUUAAGUUAGAAAGGGCGCACGGUGGAUGCCUUGGCACUAGGAGCCGAAGAAGGACGGGACUAACACCGAUAUGCUUUGGGGAGCUGUACGUAAGCGUUGAUCCAGAGAUUUCCGAAUGGGGGAACCCACUAUCUUUAGUCGGAUAGUAUCCUUACGUGAAUACAUAGCGUGAGGAAGGCAGACCCAGGGAACUGAAACAUCUAAGUACCUGGAGGAAGAGAAAGAAAAAUCGAUUUCCUGAGUAGCGGCGAGCGAAACGGAAAGAGCCCAAACCAAGAAGCUUGCUUCUUGGGGUUGUAGGACACUCUAUACGGAGUUACAAAAGAAAGUUAUAAAUGAAGCGGUCUGGAAAGGCCCGCCAAAGACGGUAACAGCCCGGUAGUUGAAAUGGCUUUCCCUCCAGAGUGGAUCCUGAGUACGGCGGAACACGUGAAAUUCCGUCGGAAUCCGGGAGGACCAUCUCCCAAGGCUAAAUACUCCCUAGUGACCGAUAGUGAACCAGUACCGUGAGGGAAAGGUGAAAAGCACCCCGGAAGGGGAGUGAAACAGUUCCUGA